UGAGGCGGCGGCGGCGGCAGUCCUGGAGGCGGCGGCAUCCUGGCGGCGGCGGCGGCUCCUCGUACAGUAAAGUUAAACUCUUCGUCAGUGUAUCAUGAACGGGGAGGAUUGUCCGGUGUGCAAAUGGAAAGUGUGUUUCACCUUUUAGAAGAAAUGAGGUGAUGCGGCGGCGGCGUCCUGGAGGCGGCGGCGGGCGUCCUGGAGGAGGCGGCGGUGGCGGGUGUCCUGGAGGCGGCGGCUCCUCGUACAGUAAAGUUAAACUCUUCUUCAGUGUAUCAUGAACGGGGAGGUUUUUCCGGUGUGCAAAUGGAAAGUGUUUCACCUUUUAGAAGAAAUGAGGUGACGCGCGGCGGCGGUCCCCCCUGAGGCGGCCCCCUGGAGGCGGGCGAGCGUCCU
ensembl:lncRNA